ACAAACGAGGAGGCCAGAAUGAGGCCGA
rnacentral:sRNA from 1 species